CAAAAUUCUCUCAUCGUUGCUUUGUUUUGAUGUGGACUUGACCGAUCAAUUCCCGAAGUGACCAAAACGAUCACCUUUACUUUGCCGGAUAUUGCGGUUGCCGGACCCGGAACCGAAAGAUGCCGAACAGAAGCUUGAAACGCCUAAAACUCCCUCGAAACAAGUACAUCGUCCAGUCCAAAAGGAUGCGUCGCCAACUUGAGAGCAAGCGGAACACCCAAGGGAACCACACCGUAAAAGAAAUCAAGUGAAGAGGGGGAAUUCCUAACGACUGGUCAUGUCGACUCUGGGAGUUCGAAUUCCACGGCAGAUGACAAAAACAAGUCGCAUACAUUUCCCAUCUGCGUGAGGAGAGAAUACCUCGAUGACGCCCAUUUCUGUGAAAGAUGCCUCACUGGAUGAUAUUCUUCAAGACGGGUACCAAAUCGUGGAGUCAAGUGGUGAAUAGAUCUGAUAAAGGAGAAGGAAAAUGUUUUCAGUAUGAUGACGAUGAUGAAUUUUCGCCUCCCUCAUUGAUCCACUCACUGAAGAAACCCAUCGGUAGAAAAGUGGAAGUGGACCAGGUAUCAGUCGGCUGACUUGAUGGACAUUGAGAUUCGAGCAGAAGUGGAAGACUAUCAGCAAAGGAAGACCAAAAGAGCAAAAAUAAUAUGAGAAGAAUCAAUAAGAAAAAAUAAAAUUAGAUUUAGUAAUAAUCCUA